UGCGCCGGAGUGUCGCUGCCGCGGGAGGGCGGGGCACAGAGAAAUGGCGGGAGAGCGCGGCGGCGGGGACGCGCUUCUGGUCCGGAGGGGGUGGGGCAGCGAUGAGUGAGGGGGGAGAGAGUACCAGCCCGCGGCUGCUGGCGGCCCCCCUGCAGGUGACGGUGCUGGCCGUGUGGGUGUGUGCCCUGCGCCGGGACGUGAGUGGUUACCACCGGGUGCUGGAGUUGCUGCAGACGCUGAGCACGGCUGCCCCGGGGCUGGUGUCCUACCGGCACCUCGCCAAGCUGCAGCUGGGACUGAAGGCCAAGAUGAUCCUGGAAAUGUUCCGAAAGGGCUGUCGCCUGGCCGACAUCCGGACCCGGCUCGGACAUCUCUUCCCGCUGGAAGACCCACCUCAGUCCUCUGAGGCGACAGUCGCAGACUCCCAGAAGGUGCGUGGGAUUGAGCAGCAGUUCCGGGAGCUGGUCCUGUACCUCCUGAGGGACCCAUCGUUCCGCACCUCUUUCCUGCAGGACGAGGGGCAGAGUCACUACGGCGAGGUCUUCAUGGCUGCCCUGGACAAGCUGCUGUGGGAGCUCCUGCUGAGAGUAGGGGAGGCGCAGGACCCUCCCAGGCUGCAGCCCUGCCGUGCUGAUGUGGAGCUGCCGGUGGUCGGGGCCCUGUCCCAGCUCCCCGCCAGCUGCUUUCAGUUGUUGCUGUCCAACAUGGGCUCUACACACUCCCUGUAUCCAGGAACCCCCCUUGUGUUGGAUCCCAGCCCGCCUGGGAAGGGAGCCGACAGCCCAGAGGGAGGUGAGGUGGAGGCAGGAGGGGGAGUGGUAGAUGGCCACCUCCCACGACCGCAGAUGCCCUGCCGGCGGACACCAGGCAAGAAGAUGAAGAGUAGGAGAUCGCUGAGGGGGCGGAGGGGCCGGUCUGCCUUGCCCCCUCCCAGCCGGAGACAGUACCCACGGGCCACAAAGAAAGAGCGUCCACCGCUCCAGAAAACAAACCUUAUAGCUCGUCCCUUCGAGUCCAGGCAGCACCCUGGGGAACCUCUUCUGCACCCUCUCCACACCUUCGCUGUAACGAGGCCAACACAGCUGUACACAACGUACCAAGUGCAGGAACAAAGAGUCGGGAUGCGGAUGUCUGAGCCGGCUAGAUGUACCGGAGAUCGGGGACGAGCCAGACACCGAGUUCAGAGAGACCCCUGCGACUCUACCAGAGGACCAAGCACAACACACUGAUCCCCACUCUGCUCGAGCACCUUGGCCCCCCAGCCGUGCCCCCCCCGGAUGGGCUGCCGAACCCAGGAGUGAGCUGAUGGUGUGCAGGCUCUCCCUGCACCUUGACCCUGGACAUGGGCUCCUGCCUUCUGAUUCCUGAGCUGCUGACAUGAGAGACAGUAUUACGUGGGGAUGGACAGGUGUUCACGUCUCUGCUGCCCAGAUGCUCCCCCAGGCACUGGAUGGACCUUUGGCUGAGCUUCUCUGCAAAGUCCCCCCAAUCCUUAGGAAGAACCCUCUCUCUUUCACCUUCAAGCUGACCAUCGCUGAGGCCUGUACUGGGCCUAGCUUAUGACAAGCAAAAUAGGGUGGUGAUGGUGGGGGUUGCUGUCAUCCUGGAGGGGAAGGUGUUGUCCCUGAGGUUUCACAUGACCGCUGGGAGGUGAGAUCUGGGUUGUGCUGGGUGUUGGGGAGCUGGUGUGUGUCAUGACUCUGCAUCUCGAGUCUCACUCCACCCCUCUUGUACAAUAAAUGUUCCUGCUUAUUGAGGAGGCAGCAGUCUCGUGAGCGUGCCGUUUCUAGGCAAAGGUGGGGAAAGAACUGAGAUGAAGACGGUGAUGUCGACGGGCAGUGCUGAAUAAAGUCAGGACCUCAG